GAGGGAGAGGGCGUGGAGGAAGAGAUGGUAGUAGAGGGAGAGGACGUGGCAGAGGUAGAUUCAACAAAGAAAAUGUUGAAUGCUACAAAUGUCACAAGUUAGGCCAUUUUCAGUCUGAAUGUCCAAGCUGGGAUGAAGAUAAUGCAAACUAUGCAGAGUUUGAAUUUGAUGAGGCUGGAGAAAUCUUGCUUAUGGCUCAAGGUACUCAAGAUUGUGCAAGCAACAAUGAAAGUAAGUAUGAAAUUUGGU
rnacentral:lncRNA from 1 species